GACGAACGCUGGCGGCGUGCUUAACACAUGCAAGUCGAACGGAAAGACCCUGCUUUUGUGGGGUGCUCGAGUGGCGAACGGGUGAGUAACACGUGAGUAACCUGCCCUUGACUUUGGGAUAACUUCAGGAAACUGGGGCUAAUACCGGAUAGGAGCUCCUGCUGCAUGGUGGGGGUUGGAAAGUUUCGGCGGUUGGGGAUGGACUCGCGGCUUAUCAGCUUGUUGGUGGGGUAGUGGCUUACCAAGGCUUUGACGGGUAGCCGGCCUGAGAGGGUGACCGGCCACAUUGGGACUGAGAUACGGCCAAGACUCCUACGGGAGGCAGAAGUGGGGAAUAUUGCACAAUGGGCGGAAGCCUGAUGCAGCAACGCCGCGUGCGGGAUGACGGCCUUCGGGUUGUAAACCGCUUUCGCCUGUGACGAAGCGUGAGUGACGGUAAUGGGUAAAGAAGCACCGGCUAACUACGUG
rnacentral:rRNA from 1 species